GUUCCACCUCACUCCGCCCCCUCCCCCUACCGCAGUCUUCCAUUUCCGUUUCCGGUGCGGGCCGCGCGCUAGCGCAGCGGUGGGAGGCUGCAACCAGCCGGUUGAGGCCCCAGGCUUGGCCUCACCACAAUGUGGCACGAGGCUAGGAAGCAUGAGCGGAAGCUUCGAGGCAUGAUGGUCGACUACAAGAAGCGGGCAGAGCGGAGACGGGAGUAUUAUGAAAAGAUUAAGAAGGACCCAGCACAGUUCCUGCAGGUACAUGGCCGAGCUUGCAAGGUACACCUGGAUUCUGCAGUCGCCCUGGCCGCUGAGAGCCCCGUUAACAUGAUGCCCUGGCAGGGGGACACCAACAACAUGAUCGAUCGCUUCGAUGUCCGUGCCCACCUGGAUCACAUCCCCGACUACAACCCCCCGCUGCUCACCACCAUCUCCCCAGAACAGGAGUCGGACGAACGGAAGUGUAACUACGAGCGCUACCGAGGUCUGGUGCAGAACGACUUUGCCGGCAUCUCAGAGGAGCAGUGCCUGUACCAGAUCUACAUUGAUGAGUUGUACGGAGGCCUCCAGAGACCCAGUGAAGAUGAGAAGAAGAAGGCCCUGGCUCAGCAGCUCUCCCAUCCCAGGCUGGCAGAGAAGAAGGCUUCCAUCGGUUACACCUACGAGGACAGCACGGUGGCCGAAGUAGAGAAGGCGGCAGAAAAGCCAGAGGAGGAGGAGUCACCGGCCGAGGAGGAGAGCAACUCGGACGAAGAUGAGGUCAUCCCCGACAUCGACGUGGAGGUGGACGUGGAUGAACUGAACCAGGAGCAGGUGGCAGAUCUCAACAAACAGGCCACUACUUAUGGCAUGGCCGACGGCGACUUCGUCAGGAUGCUUCGGAAAGACAAAGAGGAGGCAGAGGCCAUCAAGCAUGCCAAGGCCCUUGAGGAGGAGAAGGCCAUGUACUCGGGACGCCGGUCUCGACGCCAGCGGAGAGAGUUUCGGGAGAAGCGGCUGAGGGGUCGCAAGAUCAGCCCACCCAGCUAUGCCCGCCGAGACAGCCCCACCUAUGACCCCUAUAAGCGGUCGCCCUCGGAGUCCAGCUCGGAGUCCCGCUCCCGCUCCCGCUCCCCCACCCCUGGCCGUGAGGAGAAGAUCACGUUCAUCACCAGUUUUGGGGGCAGCGAUGAGGAGGCAGCCGCAGCCGCUGCUGCCGCAGCUGCAUCAGGGGUCGCCACAGGGAAGCCCCCCGCACCCCCCCAGCCUGGCGGCCCUACCCCGGGACGUAAUGCCAACGCCCGCCGCCGCUCCUCCUCCUCCUCCUCCUCUUCCGCCUCGAGGACCUCCAGCUCCCGCUCCAGCUCUCGUUCCAGCUCUCGCUCGCGCCGUGGCGGGGGCUACUACCGUUCAGGCCGCCACGCCCGCUCCCGGUCCCGCUCCUGGUCCCGCUCCCGCUCCCGGUCCCGCCGCUAUUCCCGGUCCCGCAGCCGUGGCCGACGGCACUCAGGUGGGGGCUCCCGAGAUGGACACCGCUACUCCCGCUCGCCCGCCAGGCGUGGUGGUUACGGUCCCCGUCGCAGAAGCAGGAGCCACUCCCACUCAGGGGACCGCUACAGGCGUGGCGGCCGGGGCCUCAGGCACCACAGCAGUAGCCACAGCCGCAGCAGCUGGUCCCUCAGCCCAUCCCGCAGUCGCAGCGUGACCCGCAGCCGCAGCCACAGCCCCAGCCCCAGCCAGAGCCGCAGCCGGAGCCGCAGCCGGAGCCGCAGCCAGAGCCCCUCGCCAUCACCCGCAAGAGAGAAGCUGACCAGGCCGGCGGCGUCCCCUGCUGUGGGCGAGAAGCUGAAAAAGACCGAACCUGCCGCUGGUAAAGAGACAGGAGCUGCCAAAGUCACCCAAGCUGACGCCGCAGGAGAAGCUGAAGCUGAGGAUGCAGAAGGCGCUGAACAGGCAGUUCAAGGCGGAUAAGAAGGCGGCACAGGAGAAGAUGAUCCAGCAGGAGCAUGAGCGGCAGGAGCGGGAAGACGAGCUUCGAGCCAUGGCCCGCAAGAUCCGGAUGAAGGAGCGGGAACGCCGAGAGAAGGAGAGAGAAGAGUGGGAGCGCCAGUACAGCCGCCAGAGCCGCUCACCCUCCCCCCGCUACAGUCGAGAAUAUAGCUCUUCUCGAAGGCGCUCAAGGUCCCGAUCUCGAAGCCCCCAUUACCGACACUAGGCGAAGAGUAGGCGGUGGGGAGGACAAGGGGGUGGGGUGAGGGGCUCAAGCUGUGAUGCUGCUGGUUUUAUCUCUAGUGAAAUAAAGCCAAACAUUAUUUAAUUCCUGUCA